UUUGAAUUGUUUGAAAGUUUCAGAAAUUUUGGAAUUUUUUAUUUUCGAAAGUUUUGAAUUGUUCUAAAGUCUCGAAAAUUUUAGAAAUUGACAUGUCGAAACUUCCGAAUAUUCUAGAAUGAGCAGUGAAAAAAUGAAAAACUAAAAAGGUUGAAGGGAAAAAUUGUAUUUUUCACGUUGGUUGGGGGUGACAAGUUUAAAUGUGGAGGUGCAGGGUAGAAUGCUCUGCUGCAAGUUGCUCAUUACACUCCUAUUUUUGCCUCAGACUUUCCUACCUUAUGUUGGGUCCUACAGUUUUACUUUUUCCUAUACAUCUGCUAUCUGCAACCCCUCCUUCUGCAAUUAAAAAAAUAAAAUUGAAAAUCAGAUUAAUGGCAAACAAAUUGCAGCAAACCAUUUUUUCUCUCAUAUUCACUCCCAACAAUUCUUUGUUAUUUAAAUCGAUCUCAACCACUGUCCCACACGAAAUCGUCCACCGAAUCUAUUUUUGGUUUCAAUUUUAUCGAUCAUGACUCAUUUUCAUCAUAACUUAUAACUUAAAAGAUAACAUUUUUGAAACUCUUAACUCAAUUUUAUCAAUCACGGCUUCAAUUUUAAUUUGCCACAUUUUACUUUUUUAAAGGAACUUAUAAAAAUAACAUUUACGUAAGUGGAUUAUAACUUAAAAGUUAAGGUGGCUAAUGAGAUAAAUUUAAUGACUAAAUCAAAAAUAAAUAAAUAAAACCUAUAGACAUAAAAGGAAAUUGAGAAAAAUUUAAAAGAGUAAUUUUUUUUAUUGUGUCAAUAACUAUUUUUUAUUGACAACGUAUGAUAAUUAUGUUUACCAAAAGUCUAGAAUUAUGUUUAUUAUUAAAGAAAUUAUCAAGCAACCUCGUAGUUGUCAAAGUUUAAACACUUUACCUACCUCAAUAACCCUUCAAUGGCUCAAUAUUCUCGAAAGCCAAUUAAAUAAUAUAUUAUUUAAUAAAUCUACUUUUGAUUUUCAUACCUAUUUAUCUUGCCGAGUAUAUUCAUAUGUUUCACAACAAUUAAAAUCAUAGAAAUUGUAGUGAUGAAAAUCAAUGUUUUUAAUUUGUGUUUCCUUUGUGCAUUGUUUCUUUUAUCUGUUGUGCCAACAGAGACAUUAAAAGAAGGUAAACAAUAUACAAAAGAGUUAAAGAAAAAUGUUUUGGUAGAUAAGCUUGAUGGUGGGCGAAAACCCAUAGAUAUAGAAUCUUUUGAUCAAAAUAAGCUCGUUGGUGCGGGAAAUAAAACAAGGGAAGAAAGGAUGAUGGAAAAGGAAGCAAAGCAGAAGGAAAAGGAAGCAAAGCAGGAGGAAAGGAAAGCAAAGCGGAAGGAAAUAGCUUUGGCAAAGGAAGCUAAGCAAAAGGAAAGGGAAGCAAAGAAGAAGGAAAAGGAAGAAAAGCAGAAGCAAAGAGUUUUGGAAAAGGAAGCAAAGAAGAAGGAAAAGGAAGAAAAGCAGAAGCAAAUAGCUUUGGCAAAGAAAGCAAAGCAGGAGGAAAAAGAUUUGGCAAAGUAUGCGAAGAUGAUGAAAGAUAUAGAAAGGUUAAAUGCAAUGGUAAUGAAUUGGAGAUAUGGCAUGGGCUAUACAGUAAAGGGAAAAAAAGUGAUAGAAAAAAAAUAAAGGGAAACGGUAUGGGUCAAGGAGAAGGCCAUCACAUUAUUAGUUGUAAAAAUAAAAUAUAAAUAAAGCAUACACUAUAAUCAUUGCAUGAUUGGGUGAAUGAAUGAUAAUAAUAAUUGGUGUUGUAAAGCUUUAAAAAAAUAUAUUGAUGUUUUACAUACCAUGUAUAACCGUUUAUGUAAACUUAUGUACGUGAUCAUUUUUAUUUUUAUUUUUAUAACAGAUUCGCUUCUUUAAUCUCAUUUAGUUUCUUUAUAUGAUGUUU
rnacentral:lncRNA from 1 species